AGAUGGGCAAUUCACAUUUAUGUGAUAGCUGCAAUAUUUGUGGUUUAUUGGCGAUGUUAUGGGAGAAGGAAUAUUGUCUCUAUGUUGUUGUUACCUGUGUACAGCAAUCAUAAAGAUAGUCGAAGAUCAGAGUAGUUGAUCAGUAGCUUCUUUGGUAUAUACAAAUCUUAAAAACUUUUCAUUUUCAAUUCUCUUUAUACCCUUCAAUCCAAAAUUGUAACAUUUGGAAAUGUUAGUAUUGCUAUC
rnacentral:lncRNA from 1 species